UACGCAGGGCGCAAGCGUUGUCCGGAAUUAUUGGGCGUAAAGAGCUCGUAGGCGGCUUGUCACGUCGGGUGUGAAAGCCCGGGGCUUAACCCCGGGUCUGCAUUCGAUACGGGCUAGCUAGAGUGUGGUAGGGGAGAUCGGAAUUCCUGGUGUAGCGGUGAAAUGCGCAGAUAUCAGGAGGAACACCGGUGGCGAAGGCGGAUCUCUGGGCCAUUACUGACGCUGAGGCGCGAAAGCUGGGGGAGCAAACGGG
rnacentral:rRNA from 1 species